CUGGGUCCAACCUCCCACCCGUGUCUAUCGUACCUUGUUGCUUCGGCGGGCCCGCCGUUUCGACGGCCGCCGGGGAGGCCUUGCGCCCCCGGGCCCGCGCCCGCCGAAGACCCCAACAUGAACGCUGUUCUGAAAGUAUGCAGUCUGAGUUGAUUAUCGUAAUCAGUUAAAACUUUCAACAACGGAUCUCUUGGUUCCGGCAUCGAUGAAGAACGCAGCGAAAUGCGAUAAGUAAUGUGAAUUGCAGAAUUCAGUGAAUCAUCGAGUCUUUGAACGCACAUUGCGCCCCCUGGUAUUCCGGGGGGCAUGCCUGUCCGAGCGUCAUUGCUGCCCUCAAGCACGGCUUGUGUGUUGGGCCCCCGUCCCCCUCUCCCGGGGGACGGGCCCGAAAGGCAGCGGCGGCACCGCGUCCGGUCCUCGAGCGUAUGGGGCUUUGUCACCUGCUCUGUAGGCCCGGCCGGCGCCAGCCGACCCCAACUUUAUUUUUCUAAGGUUGACCUCGGAUCAGGUAGGGAUACCCGCUGAACUUAAGCAUAUCA
rnacentral:rRNA from 1 species